AGUGGACGCUGGCGGUAGGCCUAACACAUGCAAGUCGAACGGCAGCACAGUAAGAGCUUGCUCUUACGGGUGGCGAGUGGCGGACGGGUGAGGAAUACAUCGGAAUCUACUUUUUCGUGGGGGGUAACGUAGGGAAACUUACGCUAAUACCGCAUACGACCUACGGGUGAAAGCAGGGGAUCUUCGGACCUUGCGCGAUUGAAUGAGCCGAUGUCGGAUUAGCUAGUUGGCGGGGUAAAGGCCCACCAAGGCGACGAUCCGUAGCUGGUCUGAGAGGAUGAUCAGCCACACUGGAACUGAGACACGGUCCAGACUCCUACGGGAGGUAGCAGUGGGGAAUAUUGGACAAUGGGCGCAAGCCUGAUCCAGCCAUACCGCGUGGGUGAAGAAGGCCUUCGGGUUGUAAAGCCCUUUUGUUGGGAAAGAAAAGCAGCAGGUUAAUACCCCGCUGUUCUGACGGUACCCAAAGAAUAAGCACCGGCUAACUUCGU
rnacentral:rRNA from 1 species